rnacentral:rRNA from 1 species
UCAGCUCGUGUCGUGAGAUGUUGGGUUAAGUCCCGCAACGAGCGCAACCCUCGUCGUUAGUUACUAACAGUUCGGCUGAGGACUCUAGACAGACUGCCUGGGUAACCAGGAGGAAGGUGAGGACGACGUCAAGUCAUCAUGGCCCUUACGGCCAGGGCUACACACGUGCUACAAUGGGGUAUACAAAGAGCCGCAAUACCGCGAGGUGGAGCAAAUCUCAUAAAAUAUCUCCCAGUUCGGAUUGGAGUCUGCAACUCGACUCCAUGAAGUUGGAAUCGCUAGUAAUCGUGAAUCACAAAUACCACGGUGAAUACGUUCCCGGGUCUUGUACUCACCUCCCGUC